rnacentral:rRNA from 1 species
UCGCGGCCUAUCAGCUUGUUGGUGAGGUAAUGGCUCACCAAGGCGUCGACGGGUAGCCGGCCUGAGAGGGUGACCGGCCACACUGGGACUGAGACACGGCCCAGACUCCUACGGGAGGCAGCAGUGGGGAAUAUUGCACAAUGGGCGGAAGCCUGAUGCAGCAACGCCGCGUGAGGGAUGACGGCCUUCGGGUUGUAAACCUCUUUUAGCAGGGAAGAAGCGAGAGUGACGGUACCUGCAGAAAAAGCGCCGGCUAACUACGUGCCAGCAGCCGCGGUAAUACGUAGGGCGCAAGCGUUAUCCGGAAUUAUUGGGCGUAAAGAGCUCGUAGGCGGUUUGUCGCGUCUGCUGUGAAAUCCCGAGGCUCAACCUCGGGCCUGCAGUGGGUACGGGCAGACUAGAGUGCGGUAGGGGAGAUUGGAAUUCCUGGUGUAGCGGUGGAAUGCGCAGAUAUCAGGAGGAACACCGAUGGCGAAGGCAGAUCUCUGGGCCGUAACUGACGCUGAGGAGCGAAAGGGUGGGGAGCAAACAGGCUUAGAUACCCUGGUAGUCCACCCCGUAAACGUUGGGAACUAGUUGUGGGGACCAUUCC